UCCAUGAGUAAAGUGGCGCACGGGUGAGUAACACGUGACUAACCUACCCUUGAGUGGGGAAUAACUUCGGGAAACCGAGGCUAAUACCGCAUAACACCUACGGGUCAAAGGAGCAAUUCGCUUAAGGAGGGGGUCGCGGCAGAUUAGUUAGUUGGCGGGGUAAUGGCCCACCAAGACAGUGAUCUGUAUCCGGCCUGAGAGGGCGCACGGACACACUGGAACUGAAACACGGUCCAGACUCCUACGGGAGGCAGCAGUGGGGAAUUUUGCGCAAUGGGGGAAACCCUGACGCAGCAACGCCGCGUGGAGGAUGAAGUCUCUUGGGACGUAAACUCCUUUCGACCGGGACGAUAAUGACGGUACCGGAAGAAGAAGCCCCGGCUAACUUCGUGCCAGCAGCCGCGGUAAUACGAGGGGGGCGAGCGUUGUUCGGAAUUAUUGGGCGUAAAGGGUGCGUAGGCGGUUCGGUAAGUCUUGUGUGAAAUCUUCGGGCUCAACUCGAAGUCUGCACGAGAAACUGCCGGGCUUGAGUGUGGGAGAGGUGAGUGGAAUUUCCGGUGUAGCGGUGAAAUGCGUAGAUAUCGGAAGGAACACCUGUGGCGAAAGCGGCUCACUGGACCACAACUGACGCUGAG
rnacentral:rRNA from 1 species